AGUGCCUCCCAUAGCCAGCGCUUGACAAAUGGGCAAGAUUCAGUCCAAGCCUAUGGGCUCAGCCCUUUGUUUCCCAGAGCCUCAGCCUCCAUGCCUAUUCACCCACACACUACCAGCCCCUCCACCCAGGAACAGCAUCAGCAACCACGCAGAGAGGAGCCCAUUGCUGCUGAAGGUGAGAGGCUGUCCUCUGCCUGCUUUCAGGACUCCUGGUUCUCAGGCUGCUAGACCUGAACUGGAAUCUACAGCCACUGGCUCUCUGGCUUUCAGGUCUUCAAACUACAUCACCAGCUUUCCUGGGCCUGAACCUUGCCAAUGACAGAUUGUGG
rnacentral:lncRNA from 10 species